rnacentral:rRNA from 1 species
GAUGAACGCUGGCGGCGUGCCUAAUACAUGCAAAUCGAGCGAACAGACGAGGAGCUUGCUCCUCUGACGUUAGCGGCGGACGGGUGAGUAACACGUGGAUAACCUACCUAUAAGACUGGGAUAACUUCGGGAAACCGGAGCUAAUACCGGAUAAUAUAUUGAACCGCAUGGUUCAAUAGUGAAAGACGGUUUUGCUGUCACUUAUAGAUGGAUCCGCGCCGCAUUAGCUAGUUGGUAAGGUAACGGCUUACCAAGGCAACGAUGCGUAGCCGACCUGAGAGGGUGAUCGGCCACACUGGAACUGAGACACGGUCCAAACUCCUACGGGAGGCAGCAGUAGGGAAUCUUCCGCAAUGGGCGGAAGCCUGACGGAGCAACGCCGCGUGAGUGAUGAAGGUCUUCGGAUCGUAAAACUCUGUUAUUAGGGAAGAACAAAUGUGUAAGUAACUAUGCACGUCUUGACGGUACCUAAUCAGAAAGCCACGGCUAACUACGUG